UACGGAGGAUCCGAGCGUUAUCCGGAUUUAUUGGGUUUAAAGGGUGCGUAGGCGGCCUAUUAAGUCAGGGGUGAAAGACGGUAGCUUAACUAUCGCAGUGCCUUUGAUACUGAUGGGCUUGAAUGUAGUUGAGGUAGGCGGAAUGUGACAAGUAGCGGUGAAAUGCAUAGAUAUGUCACAGAACACCAAUUGCGAAGGCAGCUACUAAAGUAUGAUUGACGCUGAGGCACGAAAGCGUGGGAUCAAACAGGA
rnacentral:rRNA from 1 species